rnacentral:lncRNA from 1 species
GGUUUUCGAAUGUUUUGGAAGUCGAAUGGAGUUCCGGAACAGAUUCCGCUCAACUUCCAAGGUACAACUGUACUAUGAAACUAGUGAAGCUUAAGAUCCAGGGCCCCUAAUCCCAGAGGGGCCCCUGAAAUGACUUUAAUCCACAUUGCUUAACAUUUUCGGGUUUAAAGACCCAGUUUGAGUCACCCAACUCAAAUGGAUUAAUUUUUUGUUGUAUAUAUUUCAACAGUUCCAAAGUUUGAUAGUUGGUAGCACAGAUGUUGUACAGUUGGAGUGAAAGGGUACAGCAAUUUUAAGCAAAACUGAGAUUUAGUAGUUAAUGUAUUUUUUUCCCCUUUAAUGUGGUGAUCUCUCAUGGACCAACCCCAUUGAAGAGAUAACAGUGGUUACCCAGACCUCCUUGCUGAUUGCAAAGGGGUCCCCAUGACUGCAGGCAGCCCAGCUGAAUGUCAUUGGUGGUCACUGAGUGCUGCGAGUUUUUUAGAAGUGGGAUGGAAAACAUGGGAAUGGACUAGAGGCUGGAACAGGAGCAAUCCCAGGCUGCAACGUUGUAGUGGAUUCAGCAGAAAUGCUCCCAUUCGCUACCUGAAUUCACACACCAGACAUUUAAAAGCACUAUGGUGGCACUUCUAAGCAGUCAUGGUUUCCCCAAGAAUUCUGGGAGCUGUAGUUUGUUAAUAGUGCCGAAAGUUCUUAGGACAACCCCUUAUUCCCCUCCGAGAGCAACAAUUCUGAGAGCGGUUUAACAGUCAAUUCCUCUUCACAGGGAAGCUUGGGAAUUGUAGCUCUGGGAGUGGAAUAAGGGCCUCCCCACAACUUUCAGUACUCUUAAUACAAUUCUUUGUGUGGGGGGGGGCUCCAUAACUGUUUAAAGUGCUAUCGUAGUGCUUUAAGUGAAUGGUGUCAAUGUGGUCGUUGUCCGGCAAAUGGAUAUGGUCAGUAUUUCGUGCGCCCCCCAAACCCCCCUCUUUUGCCAGAUGUGGUCUAAAUGCAAGGGCGCCAUAGCUAUUCCACUUUCUAUGCUCAUAAAUUACUGGCCUCCAACCUUGUGUGUCGUUUUUGGUUUCCACCAAAACUCUCACUAGGAGCGUUGGAUGCCUUUUUCUGCCUUUCAGAAAACGUAUUUAUUUUUGGCCUCCCCCCCCCCCCUUCACCAUUGUGCCAAGAAACUUCUUGGCUUUCAUAUCCAAGGCUACUUCUGCACAGAAGUAGACCCGUUGAAGUCAUCAAACAGAACUCACUUAGCUCCAUUCAUUUCAAUGGGGCUGCUUUCAGUAAAGCUGGUGUUGGAUGUAGCUGCUUAUAUCUUUUAACGUGCUCAGAGGCAUUCCUUUAAGAAUAUCUGGGCUGAGUGGGGCGUCUGUAUCAUCCCAGCCUUUGAUCAUUUCCAUUCAAAAAGCUGGGAGGAAUGCUGGCUGAAUCAUUAAGGCUGCAAUCCUAACCUCAUUUUACCUAGGAGCAAGCCCCAUUAAAUUAAGACUUACUUCUAUGUAGACGUGGAUCGGAUUGCACUAUUAAUUGCUUUGUUCUCUGGAGGAUUUUUGGGGAGUUGGAAAUGAUGCCCUUUGAGAACACAGACUAUAGCCCAGGGUACAACUACAGACUUCAGAAGUUGUGGCAUCAUGAGUUUGCUUGCACAACCUGAGGCACUUGUGUGUGUUGUGGCCUGCUGUGUUAUUGUCACUUCCCCCCCACACUUUUUUUGCAGCAAACCCGUUUUAUUUUGUUUCAUUCUGGGCUGACAAAAUUGUAAGCUGAGUUUGCACAAGUGCAUCUUGCUGCAUGUGAUUUGCUGAUUUGCUGCUAAUUUCCAGUCAGUUUCAUCCUGGGAGACAGAGGCAUGACAAGGGAGUUUUAUUCCUGGGAUCAGCGCUUGACCAACGCGCUGCAGGAUCACACAAGCUUUUCAGCACCCGUGUUGAGCAACAGGAAGUCUGGGAGCCUUGCACAGUGGCCAGCUUGGUUAAUCCACCCAGACGGUGGGUCUGGACAAAGAUGUCCUAAAAAGCUUUCCCUUGUCCCACUGUUCCUCAAAAAAAGGGCCCUGCCGGUUUCUCUCCGUUGGGCAAUUCUGUCUGCUGGUAUCCAAUCUCAGAAUGUUUCAUUCAUCAGUGUUUGGAAACCCAGAACUUUUCCCACUACCUUGUUUUAACUUGCCUCAUUCAGAGUGACACAAUGGGACAACCACAGAGAAUGUCUCAAUGGUUACAGCUAGUAGGUUCUUUGGAAGUGGGGAACUGGACAUGGGCAGUGCUUUAAGUACUGCUGUGCAACACAAGAACUCAAAGGCAAAAGGAAAACUGGAUAGCAAACUUCAUCCAGCUAACUUAGGGUGCUUCUGAAUACCAGUUGCUAGGAAACCACAGGACAGAAAGUGCUUUCAUGCUCAGGUCCUGGCUGCCAGUGUCCCACUGGGACAUCUGGGUAGCCCUUGAUGCUAUACUAGAUAUGCCACUGGUCUCAUCCAGCAGGCUCCUCUUAUGAUAUUUUACUCAUAAGUAUGUUCCUUGGCAUUCAAUUAGUAUUUAUGGUCUGUGGUUUGGGAAUACAGUCAUACCUUGGUUCUUGAACUUAAUCCAUUCCAGAAGUCUGUUUGACUCCCGAAACUGUUCGAAAACCAAGGUGCGGCUUCCAAUUGGCUGCAGGAGCUUCCGGCACUCAAGUCGAAGCCACGUCAGAUGUUCAGCUUCCAAAAAACGUUCAAAAACUGGACCACUUACUUCCAGGUUUUAGGCGUUCCAGAGCCAAUUUGUUCGACAACAAAGCCAUUCGAGAACUAAGGUAUGACUGUAUCCAUUUCCAAGAGUUUCUCUGUGAUGGGGAUGAAGGAACCUGUGGGUCCUCCAGGUGUUUCUGGACCUCAACUCCCAUCAUCCCUCUCUGCUGGCUGUGCUGUGAGGGCCUGAUGGGAGUUGAAGUCCCAACAGCCUCUGGAAGGCCACUGGUUUCCUCCAUCCCUGCUCUAGGAAGUCAUCUCACUAGUAUCGCUAUUAGGUUUAAAUGUUACUAACCAGAAGCAAUAGACUCAGGUGGUGGGGUGGGGGACGACCUCUGGUCCUCCGGCUAUCGCUGAACUACAACUCCCAUCAGCCCCUAGCCCAAUGACCAUGCUUGCCAGGGCUGAUGGGAGCUAUAGUUCAGGUGUGUCUGAAGAGCUAAAGGUUCCUCACAUCUACAAUAGACAAACUCAUAUAUUGGGAAGAAGCUCUUAGUGGUAUCACACUCCAUUUAUUCCUUACAUUGGUGUACCUGCAAACUACAAAUUUUAUCACUUGAUGAAACGUCAGCAAUUUUAAAGAUGUUUUAAAAUGUAUUUAGGUGUUUUUUAAAAAGGAUUCUGAGAGUUAAGGGGGAGAAUAGAUUAAAUACAUAAAUUUUUAUUACAGUAAAAUUUAUCAUAUUUAGGAAACAUCCAAUAAUGAACUUAGUAGGGCAAGUCUUCUUCAACAUGUGCCAAAUACAUUUCAGAACAAAAGGUCUGCAAAGGUCUAAGAUAGCAUCAGGGAAACUAAAUUACUUUUAGGGUCCACCUUAUUUUUAUGAUUGCAAGUUGUUUAAAUAUGUUUUUAAUUGUGCUUUAAUAUUGUAACCCUCCCAGGGACCUUAGGGUGAAGGUUGGGAAGGAAAUGAAUAAAUAAAUGUGAUUUAGCUCUCUUUAAAAAUGUCAGCGUGUCUUGGGUAAAUAAUGACAAGCUGAUACCAGUAGGCUUUGAUUCAAAUUUAACCUUCUCAAGACUUUGCAAGUUAAUGCAGACAUUUGGUAAGGCUGAAGUUUGCAUUAGCAUAAUUAGGACUUAUUGAAAAUUGACAGUUUUUUUCAAGAUUGAUGUUUUCAAAGGAAGUUUUGAAGUCUUUUGUCCUCUAUAAAGUUUUGUAUGCAAGAGCCAAAACCAAGGUUGGGUUUGGAUUGCUUGUUUGUUUAUCCUGGAUUGGUAGGUGUUUUUUUGUUUGUUUUUAAAAUGUUUUUAGCUAUUUGUCAUUUUCUUUGUUUUACAUGACACCAUUGAUGGAAGACAUUUGUGGUGGAAAGUAUUUGGCAUAUUCAAAGCAUAUACCAUACAGGAUUUAUUACUGGAGUGUUUAUCUGCAUGGUGAUGAUUUUAUUGUAACAAAGACAUCUGUAUUUUUAUAAUAUUUCCUCCCCCUGUGAUUUUCAUUGCCAAUUUGUUUUAUAGCAACCGUUUUGUACCUCAGUUGUUCUGUGCUCUUAAGCUCUGUGCACCUUCAAGUAGAAACAUUCUCCGUUUUGAGGAGUUUUGCCAAGGAAUCCUUCUGUGUCUGUGCAAACCCUAUGCAGAAAUUAUCACAUAUAACUGUUACCCAGAAGCAAAGUCACUACAGGGUUGGCAAACUGCUCUGCAAUAGGGUCCCUACUAUGCCCACACUGUAGCACCAUGGGAAAUUAAAAUGGCUGCCUACCCAUCUGGUUUCUCAGGGCAGACAUUACUGCUGACAGAUGCUGAUGGAGCCCUGAUAGUUGCUCCAGGGUACCAGCUGGUGCAAAUGGCAGCCUGUAGUUGAAGGACAGAAAGCUGGAAGGGUUUGCUGCUUUUAUGUCAGUGUAUACAAAGGCUCUUAAAUCUGUCAGCUGGGAGAAUCCCGAAAUAAUGGUAGUAGAAAUCCCGAAGGAAUCCCGAUUGCUGCUCUCCACGCAAUUUAUUGUUUUUGGUGGGAGGUUUGUAUUCAAUGAAGUUCCUGCUCAGAGUAGGCCCAAUGAAAUCAACCUAAGUUAGGUAUGUUCAUUAACUUCAGUGGUUCUGCUUUCUGCCACCCAAUGUUUCAUCCCCACUGCAUUCUGCUGUAUCCCAAAAUAGCAAAUAGAGGACACAUUUCUAAGUUGGAAGCUAAGCGACAGCAAACUUCUGUUUCAGGUCACAUGUCCUCACCACUAAUUGUAAUGGAUGCUUGGGAGAUCAUACUUUUAAAACCUCUCUCGUCUUAUGUAGCAAAGUGUAGCUUCGGACAAGUGUUGUCUCUAUUUAACAAAUCUACCUCAGAAUGAUAACACUGAAGAGAGAACUCGCCCUGAGCCAUCACUAUGAAUAAUAAUGGGUAUAAGCUGUUACAGGGCUAGUUUGAGUGGCCAAGUCUAUUUGCUUGUUUUUAAAAACCUACUGGAGGCAACUAAGCAGAUUUUGGCCAGCUCUUUUUGUUCUUUCCCUUACAGCUGCAAGAAAGCUGUGCUUGAGGAAUCUCCUGGGGGAGUGGGUUGCAAAAAUUGUUUUGUUAUAUGAAUUGUUGGUGCUGGGAGCUAGAGAUUAGGGUUGUUAUACGAAGCCAAGAGUUGCUGCAAUUAACUUCUGGACCAUGAACCCAAAUGGAUAUGAGUUGUGUGCAUCAUUAAAAGUAUACACAGCCAGGUUUUUUGAAGGAAAGUAGCCAGUGCUUUCUUGAACGUUGCUUGCUAUUCUAAGGAAUCUCCUUCGACCUUAAGACUUAACUGCAUAUCAGGCAUUUGCAUCAGGUGCCAAUACAUGCAGUACUCUCCCUUCCUGUUAAACCCUUUUCUCUGCUCAGCACAGCAUAACAUCUGGUAUGUUAAUAAAGGCAAAACGUAAUUACUA